rnacentral:rRNA from 1 species
CGGAGGGGCUAGCGUUGUUCGGAAUUACUGGGGCGUAAAAGCGCACGUAGGCGGCCGUUUAAGUUAGAGGUGAAAGCCCGGGGGCUCAACCCCGGAAUUGCCUUUGAUACUGGAUGGCUUGAAUCCAGGAGAGGUGAGUGGAAUUCCGAGUGUAGAGGUGAAAUUCGUAGAUAUUCGGAAGAACACCAGUGGCGAAGGCGGCUCACUGGACUGGUAUUGACGCUGAGGUGCGAAAGCGUGGGGAGCAAACAGGAUU